GCCCAGCGCCCUCUGCCCGCCGCAGCCGCCGGCGCCGCCGUUUCGGGGACGCGAGGGGAAGGGAGCCGCGGCCUGGACUUGCCACCACUGACCCUGGAGAGAAGCUGUACUUGUUUAUUUUCCCUUAAGUUAUUUUUAUAUGGUAGCUUUUUCUACAUCUUACUCCUGUUGAUGCAGCUAAGUACUGGUAAGAAUAAAGAAGUAUUUGAAACCA